rnacentral:rRNA from 1 species
UACGUAGGGUGCGAGCGUUGUCCGGAAUUAUUGGGCGUAAAGAGCUCGUAGGCGGUCUGUUGCGUCGACUGUGAAAACUCGGGGCUCAACUCCGAGCCUGCAGUCGAUACGGGCAGACUAGAGUUCGGCAGGGGAGACUGGAAUUCCUGGUGUAGCGGUGAAUGCGCAGAUAUCAGGAGGAACACCGGUGGCGAAGGCGGGUCUCUGGGCCGAUACUGACGCUGAGGAGCGAAAGCGUGGGGAGCGAACAGGAUUAGAAACCCCGGUAGUCC